CCUACGGGUGGCUGCAGUGGGGAAUAUUGCACAAUGGGCGCAAGCCUGAUGCAGCUAUGCCGCGUGUGUGAAGAAGGCCUUCGGGUUGUAAAGCACUUUCAGCGGGGAGGAAGGCGUUAAGGUUAAUAACCUUGGCGAUUGACGUUACCCGCAGAAGAAGCACCGGCUAACUCCGUGCCAGCAGCCGCGGUAAUACGGAGGGUGCAAGCGUUAAUCGGAAUUACUGGGCGUAAAGCGCACGCAGGCGGUCUGUCAAGUCGGAUGUGAAAUCCCCGGGCUCAACCUGGGAACUGCAUUCGAAACUGGCAGGCUAGAGUCUUGUAGAGGGGAGUAGAAUUCCAGGUGUAGCGGUGAAAUGCGUAGAGAUCUGGAGGAAUACCGGUGGCGAAGGCGGCCCCCUGGACAAAGACUGACGCUCAGGUGCGAAAGCGUGGGGAGCAAACAGGAUUAGAUACCCGAGUAGUC
rnacentral:rRNA from 1 species